AGGUAUUGUUCAAGUUCCAAUGCGAUUGGUGGUUCUAGAGCGAGCUUCUCCUCAAUCAGAAGCACGAAACACAUCCAAAGUUCGUGCUCACCGGUGAGCAGAGCAGAAAAAUUCAUCCACUUCCAGUGCCGCUCUGCAACAACAGAGGCACCAUUGAGCAGCAGCAGCAGCAGCAGCAAUACAGCAAACAAGGAGCAAAUCAUGCAGCUCUACAAGUACCUUAGCUCCAGAGGCGAGAUGAUCGAGGAGGAGCUGGACAAAAUCAUGUCGAACCUCGUCAAAUCAUGCCCGGCACAAC
rnacentral:lncRNA from 1 species